GAUGAAGAACGCAGCGAAAUGCGAUAAGUAAUGUGAAUUGCAGAAUUCCGUGAAUCAUCGAAUCUUUGAACGCACAUUGCGCCCCCUGGCAUUCCGGGGGGCAUGCCUGUCCGAGCGUCAUUUCUGCCCUCCAGCCCGGCUGGGUGUUGGGCGCUGUCCCCCCGGGGACACGCCCCAAAGGCAGUGGCGGCGCCGCGUCGGGUCCUCGAGCGUAUGGGGCUUUGUCACCCGCUCGGGACGGACUCGUCGGCGCUGGUCUUCCUCCAGGCGACCCUUCGGGGCUCGUCUUCCUUCGGUUGACCUCGGAUCAGGUAGGGUUACCCGCUGAACUUAAGCAUAUCAAUAAGCGGAGA
rnacentral:misc_RNA from 1 species